rnacentral:rRNA from 1 species
AGGGUUCGAUUCUGGCUCAGGAUGAACGCUGGCGGCAGGCUUAAUACAUGCAAGUCGAACGGUAAGGCCGAGCGUAGCAAUACGUGAGGUACACGAGUGGCGCACGGGUGCGUAACGCGUAUGCAAUCUGCCCCCGACCGGGACAAAACAGCUGGAAACGGCUGCUAAUAUCCCAUGGUCAUGAGAGACGGCAUCGUUUUUCAUGUAAAGAUUCAUUGGUCGGGGAUGAGCAUGCGUAUUAUUAGGUAGUUGGUGGGGUAACGGCCCACCAAGCCGACGAUGAUUAGGGGUUCUGAGAGGAUUAACCCCCCACACUGGAACUGAGACACGGUCCAGACUCCUACGGGAGGCAGCAGUAGGGAAUAUUGGGCAAUGGAGGCAACUCUGACCCAGCCAUGCCGCCGUGAAGGAAGACGGCCCUAUGGGUUGUAAACUUCUUUUGCCGCAGAGUAAACCCGGUCACGUGUGGCCGGUUGAGAGUAUGCGGCGAAUAAGUAUCGGCUAACUCCGUGCCAGCCGCGGC